GUUUUUUUUUUUCCUUAUGCCCAUGUAAGUUUGAAGAUGCCUGAUAACCUUUGCACUGUAGAAACAUGUUGAGGUUGGGGGAUGGACCAGCUGCAUAGAGCACAGCUGUCUGUACUACAGUUCAACAAAACUCCAGGAUCACUUGGUUGAAGGUCAAAGUAAAAUCAGGUUCAGUCCCUUGCAAACUAAAUUGCCUUAAUCAUGUUAUAGGACAGCUUUGUAUGGGUGGGGGACAGGGGAUACCUUUCAAGGCACUUUCAGUGUAAAGUGGUCCUUAGAUAUAGCUAAGGCAAAUGCUACACAAAUGGCACCUGAGAUUAAGAAACUUUCUGAUGGAGAAUCCUAGCCAUGAAACAAGCCAGCAACUUUUAUUUAUUUUUUUCACUUUGUGUGCAAAAUCCAAAAGGUUGGCCAAUGGUUAACUUGUUGAUCACGAGAAUUGCUGUCUUGGGUUGUCUAACGCCCUUGUAACACUUAUCUGUUGAGUCCCAGAAAUUGCACCUAUACUCGGACAGGUAAUCAUUUUCUUGAUAUUGCAUGUGUGCUGCAUACGCCCUAAAAUUAGCAGUUCUUGCUACUUUUUAUUAACAGUUCAGAGUUGCCCCUAAAAUAUUCAGUGGUGAAUAUCUCGCAUAUUUGGCAGUUGCUCUACUAUGAUUAUGUGCCUUUUACUUUCCUUAGAGACCAAGAGUACCAGUGUUGUAAAUGAACCUACUUUCAGCGGUUCAACUAAACAAGCUUAGGGUAAGCUUGUGGAGAGGUGGUGAUAUGGGGUUGUAUUAAAGAGGCAGCAAACAUACUUCCUGUCUGCUUGAAAAUAUUUACCUAAAUAUUGGAUUGAUGAUUACUUUUAACUCCAUUUAUUUUUAUUUUUUGAUAGCCCUAUCUUUAUCGGUAAAUUAUUGGCAAAUGAACAAGUACAUCGUUUAACAACAGUGGGGACUUGCUGCAAAAUACCUGAAGCAUGGCAAUAGUGUGCCUGCUCUUACCUUUGCUAGGUUCAAAAAGUAAACUGGAGCAGUUUAUUUUCAGUAAAACAGGGUGAUGCCUUUAUGUCCAAGGCCAGUCACUGCAGGGUAAGAGCAGUGGGACAGGUAAUGCACAGUAAAUCCCCUAUCCUGUGCAGUCUGAGAGAGGUGUGUCUAUACUUGUCUUUGUUUCCCCUUGCAGAAGUCCUGGGCAGUGGGGGGCAUGGGGUAGGCCAGCCAGGGACAAAUCUGAGCCUGUGCUUAUCUACUUCUCUCAAACCUCUGGGCACUCUUCAAAACAUCUGGUGGUACUCUGGUUGCCAGUCACUGGCCUAAGGACAUAGGAAAGUUGAGGUGAGUGAACUAAAAUUGUAGCUGUAAUGUGUAUCAAGCCCUCCAUGGAUAUUUUCAUUCAGAAGUGGCCUUGGUUUUAUUUGUUUGCAGUUCAAAUCAGAGAGGAAUAUUGGAAUAUAAAAGUACCCAUUAAAUUAAAGAAACCAAUCUGCGAAUAAAGCUUUGUGACUUGGAAUAUUCCAUUUCAGUAAUGGAUAUAGGCUAUGUUGUGUUUGUUAUAAAUGUGAAACAGUUUAGUUUUUUUUCCAAGCUGAGUAAGGGACAGGGUGUUCUUAAAAAAUAGACUAAAUUACAAACUUUAAUUCCUGUAGUCUGAAGAAACUUAAAAAAAAAAAAAAAAAAAAAAGUUUGUGUGGGGGCAAAUAAUAGGAGACAGCGUUAUGUCCUGUUUUUGGUGACUGCAGCCUGUAUCGUGUGAUGUGCAAGUGGUAGUUUAAACCCCUGAUUUGUUUAAAAGAAAAAUACAGUAGCCUAUUCUGGUGCUUUUAACUUAUCCUGGUUACUUUAAGAAUACAGUAGAUGUCUGUGGUCUUUGUUACUGGUGUGAUGCAGAAAUGACCAAACUAAAAGAAAACAUUGCUUAAGCACACUAAGCUGAGGGGAGGGGGGUGCAGCAGAAGCAAAUGGGCUUUGUCUACACUGAAGACCCCCGCUGAGGUUCAGUGCACUUGGUGUCCAUGACAGCCCUUUAGAUUUGUCCCCUGUUCACACUCAAAAUGUCCUAAAAGGUUGUGGCUGCAAUGUUUUGAGUAAUACCUUCCUUACCAGCUCAACCUCCAGUGCAUUCUGGGUGGUGGUAGGCCACCAGCAAGCAUUGUGGAAUACUAUUAGGGGGUCUAGUUGAACCGUUUCACUUAAUCUGUACUUGCUCUCGCCUAAAGAUGAGUAAGACAAAUGUAAGAAGACCUAGUUCUCCUGAAGCAUGUUAAUUACCAAAGGUUGUUAUCCCUGUCCCCUCCCUCCCCAUCAUUUGGAGCAUCUUUAUAUAGCGGAUCGGCCUUUUUCGGUUAAAAACAAACAAACAUCAAUAACUGUGAAAUAUUUUUAAGCAAAACAAUCUUUCAGCUUGUAGAUAUAUGUAGUAAAUUAGCGUGGUCAAAAGUACGCCCAAAAAACUUGUAUUCUUUAACCACAAAUGCAGCUUACUACGUGAGUCAUCUGUUGCCUGAUGCAUAAUUUUUUUAAAUACAUAAGAUGAGUGGUUUACCUGUUUGCUGUUUCUAAAAGUUAAGAGAAUAUGUUUCUGCAUUCACUGUAAAAUAUAGGGCAGAUAGUGAUGCAACAAAUGGUUACACAGUGUUAAAAGCUAGUUUGGUACCAUGAUUUGAAUAUGAACAUUUUACAUUGUUUUAGACCAUUUACUAAUUAACACUUGUAUCACUGCACACACAUCAGCUGUUUAUUUGAAUAUUGGCAUUUUUACUACAAUAGAAUUUGAUGCAAGGGUUACUGCUAAUUGCUUUUUCCCCUGGAGUAAGUUUAUUCUUUGAAUCAAAUGGUUAUUGUAAAAGCUAUGCUUUCUCUGAGAAAUUUCUGUGCAUCCUAGAUUGGGAUUUUUAAAGGAGGCAAGGGAGUCGGCUCUUUUUCUUGGACAUUCCUUAGGCGACACUGGCUUUAAUUUUCUUCCUCUAAAAACUGUUUGUAGUAUGGUAUUUCCUUAGUUUGGAAAAAGGGGAGGAAGAUUUAUAGUUACUCUUGAACUGAGAUCUCAGCUGGCUUCAUAGUUCCAACAGCCCUCUAAUACUCACUUUUCAUACUCAUGAACUUAUCACAGAUUUUCAGACUGUACCUACAAUAAGGAAUUAAAUAAAAAUCCCAUUAGAGGUUGCACAGAUUCAGAUUUCACCCGUGGGAAUCCUGUAUUUAACAAAGUGUGGCACUACUUGAGCUUUAAACCAGGCUACUGCUGCUGCAUCUGAACUGGCAAGAGUACCUUUUGGACCUCUGCCGAACACCUUUUGUAGUCUGGACCUUAAUAUCCUUUAUUGCUGUCGGAAAAGCAGCAGACUUGGAGCACUAGAUACCGCAGAUGGUCAGCUAUCCAAAUAACUAAAACCAAAGCUUCUUAGGUUUGGAAACUAGAUACCAAAACCAGUUAGACUAAUAUAAUCUAUUUUGAAGCUUCCAGCUGUUAUCCCCCUGAAUUCUGAUUUAUAGAAUGUCAUUCCCAGCUAUGUUUAUAGAUGGGCAAUGUUUAAUUAAAAAAAGAAAAGAAAUUGGCACAUUUUUUCACUCAAAUAUCUUAAGCUGUUUACUGGGUUUAAUCUUUUGUAUGUUAUAGGCACAAAUCUGGAAACCUGCCUGCUUUAAAUGUCCAUUGCUCUUUCCUAUGUAUUAGGAAAUCAAUAGCACUUGUAAAAGUGAAUCUGUGUAGCUGUUAAUGAGAUGUGAUGCAUAGUUGCUCAAUGUCAUCAAAUACAGGACUGGCUGAUGAACAUUCCCGGAACUGUCCUUCCAAAUGAGGUGAAACAAUAAAUCCAAACCAAUUUAGCAGUUCAAAUGUUGGAUUCGUUUUUUAUACGAUAGGCAGCUGUUUUUGUGUGUCAUGGAAGCUCCAUCUUCCAUUUAAGCAAUGGACAGGAUGGUCUUUCUUAAAGCUUAUAUCUUAAAAAUAUACGGCUCACAAUCCAAGAAUUUUAAAGACUAUAUCAAACAAUUCCAGCAAUAUACCCAUCUGUGCCAUGCCGGAGGCUUGGUAUGCCACAAGUAGGACGCUGUGAAAUGAUAUAUUCAUUAGAAGACUUAGAGGUAAUUGUCCAUUUUUUUUCUAAUCUUUCAGCUAAAGUUAAUACAAUAGGUAUCGCAAUACUGAUUAACUGAAGCAGAAGAGUCUCUUAAAAUACCUUCACUACAGAGGGAGACUGCAUCUAGUGAACUGAAACAGCAUGAGAAAUCUGAGCCCUCAAAUUAUGUGACACAAACUUUAUAGAGGAAUAGAAACCAGGGCUUAGAGUGGGCUGAAUCCCAAAAUAGAGUUGACAAGGUUUAUGAUUUUAGAUUGAACAAUGUCUUAUUUGUCUGAGGUCCUGAGCGAGCUCAUAAGAGAGUCUUCAUUAGGUGUCAGCAGACUACCUGGCAAAUAUGGAUUCAAAUAGGCAAAGGAAUGUGCCUGUGGAAAAACAGCACCCCCUAAGCCUUUUAAUGCUGCACCUGUAGCUUGUAUGCUUGUGCUAGGAGUUGCAUCAUAAUGUCCUACCUCAUAAUGGUCUGCUGAACAAAGCAGUGUGCCCUAGUUUAUUUGACAUGUUAAGAACGAGAAAUGGAAAAUAAAAUCUAAAACGGAGGAAGGAAACCAGAGGAAAUGAGCAACCAAGGGUAAUGGUGAUUUAGGCCUAGACUCGGGAUGUGGCGGGGGAGAGUUUUCUCUAGCAUAGAUGGACCGGUUUAUGCCAGUAUGCCAAAAUUGCUCUUCAGCACUAGGCACAGGGGUAUAGGCUGUAGCUGUGUUGAUCUAAGGACAUAGGCAGAUAAGGAGUUGGUCUAAAAGAAGAUAUCAGAUCUACCCAAAGAACCUUGUCUGCCAGUUAAACUUUCCAGCAUGGUUAUGAUUUGCAUCAGUAGCCUGCCCAAACUAAGGAGGGUAUUAGUCAAGUCUUAAGGCAUUGGUUUGGCAGGGAGCAGCAGACAUAACCCUGCACACCUGCAAAUUGGCAAACUGCUAUGUUCUGCCUCUGAAAAGUUUCCUCCUGCGUGACCUAGCUAAGAGUCAGUGAUGCUACAACCCAACAACAAGGCUCUAGACACUAAAUCACAUCCCCUCCCAGAAUGGGGAAACAAGCAUCUUCUGCUUUUCUUUAAAUUACUUUAAAAUGUGUUGUGUGCGCAUAUGUUCAGUUUAGGGCAAAUAUAUAACCAUUAGGGCAAUUUUUUCUACAGAGAACAUUUUUAGUAGCAUUAGCAUAGUGUUGAUUUAUUAUCUGGUUUCUUUCACUUCCCUUUGGUCCAUUUACAGGAACGUGGACCUCCAUCGCCUUCUCCUGAAGCAUUUCGUCCUGUUUAGUGUAACAUGUUCCUGUGAUGCUCCUUUUCAGAUGACCCCAGUAUAGUUACAAUAUGGAUUUAGGGAAGGCAGUUUGCAUCUGUGCUGUAUUUGGCUGUGGGUGAGGAUAUUUACUCUUAUUUUUUUUUAAAUCAAGGUGGAGCAGUAAGAAUGGCUUUGCAGCUUAGCUGUUUGUUGUUACUUUGUGCAAGCAGAGCAGUAACUUUUUGUGUUCUAAAAUUCAUAGCCAGAUUCCAAUCGUGGCCAUUCCUUGUCUUCAUAAUGUUCUAAAUUUGAAGGGUUUGGGGGGUGGGGUGGAGUAUCACCAUGACUCAAACUAUUUAAAUAUAGAGCAAAGGGUUGAUACUGCAUAUUAGAAUCCAGAAAAGUUGCAUUUUUGUCGCGGUGGAUAUGCAGGCUAGUGGUAAAGCAAGAUUAACAUAACUGUACAUCUGCCGCUAGAGGGCAACAUUCGCAGUUUAAAAAAAAAACCUCAUCUACCAUCACUUUUUUUUUCUGCUGCAGCUGAGUCUGGGGUUGCACGGGAUCUUUCCGUAUUGCCUGUGUAGAAAGAAUACUGGACAUUUGGAGAUAGUUUAAUGAUAAGAAUGUAGGCCUCGUUCACUUGAGUCAAAACCUUUAGGGUGCCGUAAUGAAUCCAGUGGGUUUAUGUCUGACAUUUAGGCUGCCAAAAACACACGGACCCCCAGAUCUGCAAAUAUCCUUACUGUGAAUCCCUAUUGGAUUCUCACAAAGGGUGUCCUGCUAAUUUGGGGACCUUACAAGGUUAUCCUAAUCCUAGUAAGAGUUGUUUUGCUGAACAUUUUACCUUGGUUUAUCCUGGGAAAAAGACAAAAGAUAGGCUGACUGCUCUGAAGUACAGCAAAUUUGUACAGUAGUACAAAUUACUUCUUUUGAGUACCCAAAGAUGUGAUAAGCAUGUUACAAAGGGAAUGAAAACAUAAGACUUUUGUUUUGGUUCUUUUCCACCUCAAAUGUCUCUGAUCUUUGGUGCUUGAAGCUUUGGGCAUUCAAACAGACCCAUUUGCACUUAGUACUGAUCACUCUUGAUUCCACUUGAAGUGCAGUGGAGUUGCUGGGGCUGAGGACUUCUGAAGAUCAAGUCCAAGAGAUCCCUCACUGGGCUCUCCAGUAUCAACUGGCUGCUUUCAAUGGUUGCUUUUGAGCUGAUGCUCCCUGCUCUAAAGCUUACAAUCUAAGUGAGACCCAUUAGACUUUCACCAAUUGAUUCUUUACUGGUAGGGAUCACAGAUGCCAGAAGUUAGAGAGACUUUUCUAAAUAAAAAUACUUUGAGCAGCCAAGACUUGAAGAUGCAGACUUGGAAUUGGUGCUACAUGUUGAGUCAGAAUGUGCCAGCUUUACACACAUGCUUCAGGAAACCUCCAAACUUUUUGACUUGCUAAUUACUUGGAACACAGUCAUGAGAAAAUUCCCAUCACGAAGCAUGAGUAACUUCUGGACAGCGAGUAAAAUAUCUUCAUUUUCAUGCCCCUCAAUCUUGUAGGAAGUGGCAGGCAAAGUUUUUUGUGCCAGGCACAACUUUUACAAGGCUCUAUAAAGGCAAUCGCUGCUUCCUUGACUGUAUCUUUGUCCCAGCCCAGCACUUGCUACCCACUGAGUGCUCUAGUCUUGCCAUUGGUACUAGACUAGGCUACAUAAGGUGAGGUCUUCUGUCAGUGGCCUUUAAACUCAGAGGCGGGUACCUUGUGAGUUAGUAGUCACUUGUGUAAUACCUCUGUGCUGCUCAGGGGCUUGGCAGAGGACACUAAUGGUGGAGCCUACCUUUGCUCCUUUUGUCAUAAGUGGGGAGCUUUGCCAUUUUGCAUUCAAAGAGAAGGAUGAGAGCUCUCAUUUCACUACUGCUUUUAGUGUUGUUACUUUUGCUGUUUGCUUUUAUGGCUUUGGGCUGUGCUCUAGGGGGAUAUGACUAGAUGGGCACUAGUAGGAUCUGAGUUAAAAUCUUCCCACUGAUCCCGUCCAAAGGGAACAUCUGGGCAACCUUCUCCUCCGGUCUGCAGAAUCCUGUAUGAAAUUCUGGUUGUGUUUGUCUGUAAGGAAACAGGCAACAUUGUUUAAACUGCAGGACUAGGUGGCAGGAGCCUUAGUUGCUAUUCCCAGCCUUCCUUCAUAUACUAUGUGACAUUGGCUGACUUAAUUUCCCUAUGCCUAAGUUUAGAGUAGAGAUGACAAAAUAUAGUUUUACCUCUGUUAUAUUUGCACAGGUUCUUGGGUAGAAGGCACUGUAGAAGGGCAGCUUAUUAAAUUAUUAUCAUGGAUAAAAUUUAAAAGAAAUUGAACUAAGGUAAAAAUGAGUGAAGGUACCCAGCAGAGUGCCUCCUAUUAGGGUGGAAGUUUAAAAGGCUAGGGUUAUAUCAUUUAAAAAGGAGAUGGAGUAUUACAUGGUUUGGCCAAGGCUUUUGGACACUUCUGCACAUCUCUUUCCACACUACGAGAGCACUGAAUGAAUGGAAAAGCAAACAAGAAAGCAAAUUCUCCUCUGCUCUGUACAAUUAACCUUUGGAACUUGUUGCUACAGAACAUGAUGGGGGGGGGGAAAUAGCUUUGGAAAAUUCAUAGAUGAUUAUAAGAAUCACUCCUGCAAUUACGUUAGGUGGAAUAAAAAUAGGAAGUGUUGU